rnacentral:rRNA from 1 species
UACGUAGGGCGCAAGCGUUGUCCGGAAUUAUUGGGCGUAAAGAGCUCGUAGGCGGCCAGUUGCGUCUGCUGUGAAAUCCCGGGGCUCAACCCCGGGCUUGCAGUGGAUACGGGCUGGCUGGAGGCAGGCAGGGGAGAACGGAAUUCCCGGUGUAGCGGUGAAAUGCGCAGAUAUCGGGAGGAACACCGGUGGCGAAGGCGACUCACUGGACACGUAUUGACGCUGAGGUGCGAAAGCGUGGGGAGCAAACAGG